GGUGAGGUGGCCGAGUGGUUAUGGCGCGUGACUCAAGCUCAAGCUUGCCUCUUACUCAACAGAGGUAGUAUUCUCGUAGCGCAAGCUGCGUGGGUUCGAAUCCCACCCUCAUCA